CCUACGGGAGGCAGCAGUGGGGAAUUUUGGACAAUGGGGGCAACCCUGAUCCAGCAAUGCCGCGUGAGUGAAGAAGGCCUUCGGGUUGUAAAGCUCUUUUGUCAGGGAAGAAACGGUUUUGGCUAAUAUCCAGAGCUAAUGACGGUACCUGAAGAAUAAGCACCGGCUAACUACGUGCCAGCAGCCGCGGUAAU
rnacentral:rRNA from 1 species